UGCCUCCUACGGGGGGCAGCAGUGAGGAAUAUUGGUCAAUGGGCGGGAGCCUGAACCAGCCAAGCCGCGUGAGGGAAGACGGCCCUAUGGGUUGUAAACCUCUUUUGUCGGAGAACAAAACCCGGGACGAGUCCCGGACUGCGUGUAUCCGAAGAAAAAGCAUCGGCUAACUCCGUGCCAGCAGCCGCGGUAAUACGGAGGAUGCGAGCGUUAUCCGGAUUUAUUGGGUUUAAAGGGUGCGUAGGCGGUCCGUUAAGUCAGCGGUACAAUUGCGGGGCUCAACCCCGUC
rnacentral:rRNA from 1 species